rnacentral:rRNA from 1 species
GGGUAGGCCUACAUGCAGUCGAACGAAGCGCCCGCGCGGAUUCCCUCGGGAUGAAGCGCGGAUGACUGAGUGGCGGACGGGUGAGUCACGCGUGGGCAACCUGCCCCGUGCCGGGGGACAACAGCCGGAAACGGCUGCUAAUACCGCAUGAUCCGGGAGGGCCGCAUGGCCCUGCCGGGAAAGCUCCGGCGGCACGGGAUGGGCCCGCGUCUGAUUAGUUUGUUGGCGGGGUAACGGCCCACCAAGACUGCGAUCAGCAGCCGGCCUGAGAGGGCGGCCGGCCACAUUGGGACUGAGACACGGCCCAGACUCCUGCGGGAGGCAGCAGUGGGGAAUAUUGCACAAUGGGGGAAACCCUGAUGCAGCGACGCCGCGUGGGCGACGAAGCGCUCCGGCGCGUAAAGCCCUGUCAGCAGGGAAGAAAAAAGACAGUACCUGACCAAGAAGCCCCGGCUAACUACGUGCCAGCAGCCGCGGUAAUACGUAGGGGGCAAGCGUUAUCCGGAUUCACUGGGCGUAAAGGGAGCGCAGGCGGCACGGCAAGUCUGGUGUGAAAGCCCGGGGCCCAACCCCGGGACUGCAUUGGAAACUGCCGGGCUGGAGUGCCGGAGGGGUAAGCGGAAUUCCUGGUGUAGCGGUGAAAUGCGCAGAUAUCAGGAAGAACACCGGUGGCGUAGGCGGCUUACUGGACGGCAACUGA